UAGAACGCUGAAGCUUGGUGCUUGCACCGAGCGGAUGAGUUGCGAACGGGUGAGUAACGCGUAGGUAACCUGCCUGGUAGCGGGGGAUAACUAUUGGAAACGAUAGCUAAUACCGCAUAAAAUGGAUUAUCGCAUGAUAAUUCAUUGAAAGGUGCAAAUGCAUCACUACCAGAUGGACCUGCGUUGUAUUAGCUAGUUGGUGGGGUAACGGCUCACCAAGGCGACGAUACAUAGCCGACCUGAGAGGGUGAUCGGCCACACUGGGACUGAGACACGGCCCAGACUCCUACGGGAGGCAGCAGUAGGGAAUCUUCGGCAAUGGACGGAAGUCUGACCGAGCAACGCCGCGUGAGUGAAGAAGGUUUUCGGAUCGUAAAGCUCUGUUGUAAGAGAAGAACGAGUGUGAGAGUGGAAAGUUCACACUGUGACGGUAUCUUACCAGAAAGGGACGGCUAACUACGUGCCAGCAGCCGCGGUAAUACGUAGGUCCCGAGCGUUGUCCGGAUUUAUUGGGCGUAAAGCGAGCGCAGGCGGUUAGAUAAGUCUGAAGUUAAAGGCUGUGGCUUAACCAUAGUACGCUUUGGAAACUGUUUAACUUGAGUGCAAGAGGGGAGAGUGGAAUUCCAUGUGUAGCGGUGAAAUGCGUAGAUAUAUGGAGGAACACCGGUGGCGAAAGCGGCUCUCUGGCUUGUAACUGACGCUGAGGCUCGAAAGCGUGGGGAGCAAACAGGAUU
rnacentral:rRNA from 1 species